rnacentral:tRNA from 1 species
AAAAAUUUAGUUAAAAUAUAAAAUUAGCUUGUCAAGCUAGAAUUAUUAAAUUUAAAAAUUAUAAUUUUUA